rnacentral:rRNA from 1 species
CCUACGGGGGGCAGCAGUGGGGGAUAUUGCACAAUGGGGGGAACCCUGAUGCAGCGACGCCGCGUGGGUGAAGGAGCGUUUCGGCGCGUAAAGCCCUAUCGGCAGGGAAGAAGAUGACGGUACCUGACCAAGAAGCCCCGGCUAACUACGUGCCAGCAGCCGCGGUAAUACGUAGGGGGCAAGCGUUAUCCGGAAUUACUGGGUGUAAAGGGAGCGUAGACGGUUAAGUAAGUCUGGAGUGAAAGGCCGGGGCCCAACCCCGGGACUGCUCUGGAAACUAUUCAACUUGAGUGCAGGUGAGGUAA